rnacentral:rRNA from 1 species
UACGUAGGGUGCAAGCGUUAUCCGGAAUUAUUGGGCGUAAAGAGCUCGUAGGCGGUUUGUCGCGUCUGCUGUGAAAACUGGAGGCUCAACCUCCAGCCUGCAGUGGGUACGGGCAAACUAGAGUGGCGGUAGGGGAGAUUGGAAUUCCUGGUGUAGCGGUGGAAUGCGCAGAUAUCAGGAGGAACACCGAUGGCGAAGGCAGAUCUCUGGGCCGUAACUGACGCUGAGGAGCGAAAGCAUGGGGAGCGAACAGG